rfam:Capsicum annuum cultivar Zunla-1 chromosome 4, whole genome shotgun sequence
GGGCUGUGAUGAUAUCUUGAGAAAGUCAUGCACCACUCUGACAUAAGUGAUGUGAAAUUUCUCAUACCCAUAUACUUUUCUGAGCUC